rnacentral:sRNA from 1 species
UGUAUUUGGCUGGAAUAUGGUUGUCUCAGAAUAACAUCAUGCACUCGGGCUUUUACACUUCUGCCUUUAGGUGACUGUGGCAGCAUGGCAUGGGUCAAGAAGUACUUCUCCUUCAUCUUUCUUUGAUGUCUGUAACUCAUCCUCUCUGCACUGCAGGAGUUGUUAAUGCUUUUGUGUCCUCCAGUUCACAUGCUGAUUGCUAAGAAGAAAAUGAGCAUAAGUGAACCCAAAGCUGCUGAAACAUUCUGCGUUUAUGCAACUUCCUUGUCCUCUAUACAAGGAAGAUGAUUUCAUUGUCUUGUCUAGAGAAUAAAGUCUUUUUUAAAAAUAAAAUCAGUGUAUCCCUGACCAAGCGUCCAUUAACACUUUGACAAUUGCUCGAACUGCAUGGCCACAGCAGCCUCAGCUCAUACCAGCCAUCCAAUGCAAGGAAGGACAACACCAAGCCCAGAGGACAGUUCCUGGACUGAUUUCUUCGACCCAAUCUCACACCCCAUGGGACGAGGUCAUCAAGCAGGAAGAAGGAUGGAUAUGGACUCCAGUCAUAGUACAACGCUUCAGCCUACUGCAAAUCCAAACACAGGUUUGG